rnacentral:rRNA from 1 species
UACGGAGGGUGCAAGCGUUAUCCGGAUUUACUGGGUUUAAAGGGUGCGUAGGUGGGUAGGUAAGUCAGUGGUGAAAUCUCCGGGCUUAACCCGGAAACUGCCAUUGAUACUAUUUAUCUUGAAUACUUUGGAGGUAAGCGGAAUAUGUCAUGUAGCGGUGAAGUGCUUAGAUAUGACAUAGAACACCAAUUGCGAAGGCAGCUUACUACACAGUAAUUGACACUGAGGCACGAAAGCGUGGGGAUCAAACAGG